rnacentral:rRNA from 1 species
GACGAACGCUGGCGGCGUGCUUAACACAUGCAAGUCGAACGAAGAGCGAUGGAAGCUUGCUUCUAUCAAUCUUAGUGGCGCACGGGUGAGUAACGCGUAAUCAACCUGCCCUUCAGAGGGGGACAACAGUUGGAAACGACUGCUAAUACCGCAUACGAUCUAAUCUCGGCAUCGAGGAUAGAUGAAAGGUGGCCUCUACAUGUAAGCUAUCACUGAAGGAGGGGAUUGCGUCUGAUUAGCUAGUUGGUGGGGUAACGGCCCACCAAGGCGAUGAUCAGUAGCCGGUCUGAGAGGAUGAACGGCCACAUUGGGACUGAGACACGGCCCAGACUCCUACGGGAGGCAGCAGUGGGGAAUCUUCCGCAAUGGACGAAAGGCUGACGGAGCAACGCCGCGUGAGUGAUGACGGCCUUCGGGUUGUAAAGCUCUGUUAAUCGGGACGAAAGGCCUUCUUGCGAAUAGUGAGAAGGAUUGACGGUACCGGAAGAGAAAGCCACGGCUAACUACGUG